rnacentral:rRNA from 1 species
CCCGACCUACGGGGGGCAGCAGUCGAGAAUCAUUCACAAUGGGGGAAACCCUGAUGGUGCGACGCCGCGUGGGGGAAUGAAGGUCUUCGGAUUGUAAACCCCUGUCAUGUGGGAGCAAAUUAAAAAGAUAGUACCACAAGAGGAAGAGACGGCUAACUCUGUGCCAGCAGCCGCGGUAAUACAGAGGUCUCAAGCGUUGUUCGGACUCACUGGGCGUAAAUCGUGCGUGGGCUGUUUCGUAAGUCGUGUGUGAAAGGCGCGGGCUCAACCCGCGGACGGCCCAU